rnacentral:rRNA from 1 species
AUGAAGAUUGUGACCUGCCACAUAAUGAAACCGCCAGUAGUCGCGAAUAUCUCAUUCUUCCCUAAUCCAAUAUUGGAGAAAGAAGAUCUAGGAGGGGCCUAUAUAGAAUGUAGUCAGAAAUCCAUAGUAGAGUCCGACCACAAUGACUGAAUUAAUUAUCAUCAUCGAGAAACUUAG